AAUUCUCGAACUCCCGGACCUGUAAUUUCAUUUGAACUUCGCAUUUUUUUGCACUUUCACCUGUGUUUUCACGUUUUGGACCUGUAAAUGAUUUUUUCUGACUGUAUAUCGAUGUAUACAGUAGGUAUAUCAGCCUGUUUUUAGGUUUUCCGAGAUCUGUAUUCUGCUUUUGGAACUCGUAUUUCAGCGUUCUGCUGAUAGGGUUGACUCUACGAGAAAAUCGAGCCUCCAUGGCUCAAUUUGGAAAAUGCAAAGAGAGNNN
rnacentral:lncRNA from 1 species